rnacentral:rRNA from 1 species
CCUACGGGAGGCUGCAGUGGGGAAUAUUGGACAAUGGGGGCAACCCUGAUCCAGCCAUGCCGCGUGUGUGAAGAAGGCCCUCGGGUUGUAAAGCACUUUCAGUGAGGAAGAACGCCUGGUGGUUAAUACCCAUCAGGAAAGACAUCACUCACAGAAGAAGCACCGGCUAACUCCGUGCCAGCAGCCGCGGUAAUACGGAGGGUGCGAGCGUUAAUCGGAAUUACUGGGCGUAAAGCGCGCGUAGGUGGCUUGAUAAGCCGGUUGUGAAAGCCCCGGGCUCAACCUGGGAACGGCAUCCGGAACUGUGAAGCUAGAGUGCAGGAGAGGAAGGUAGAAUUCGCGGUGUAGCGGUGAAAUGCGUAGAGAUCGGGAGGAAUACCAGUGGCGAAGGCGGCCUUCUGGACUGACACUGACACUGAGGUGCGAAAGCGUGGGUAGCAAACAGGAUUAGAUACCCUUGUAGUC